GGCGAGCAGGAGAAGCGGACCGAGGACUCGCGGGGGCCCGCCCAGACUCAGCCGCGCCCGCUCAUUGGCUGCUCUGCGGAGACAAAGGUAAAAAUAUGCAAAUCGGCCGAGCCCGCCUGGUGGGGCUUGCGCCUCCGCUUAUCUCCCGGGCUCUGCCGUGGAACUGGGAAGGCGAGCCGCAGGCACCCUCCCCGGCCGAGCAGGAGGCCGAACCGCUGCCCUACCCUCGCCAGAGCUGAAGCAGGAGGCGUGGGGGAAAUGACCUCCUCGCCGCUGAUAACCAAACUGACCAUUUUUGCUGUGGAACCAGAGGCUGCAGUGUCUGAAACGAAGACUUUACUUUUAUGCCAUCGCCCUAUCUGUGCAGGUGAUAUAUGAGGGGAACUUCACGGAUAUUUUUUGCUCUCUGGACUAUUAAAAACCCAUAUAACGUUUGAACCUGUUUCUGGCCAUACAACAGUAAACAAAGGAGGUAAAAAGGAGCCAGACGAUCAAGAUGUUUCCCAUUCUUGAAGCUGAAAAUGCAGUAUAGCCGGGAGCCAUUUUAAGAAUCAAGCUGGCUAGGAGUCCAGGAGAGAAAAUGUUCAGAUAAAGAAUAUGCAGGCUGACGACGUCAAUCAUCACACAGAGAAAGAUUUUUGAUGGGAUACAUACCAAGAGACCUGGCACUUACCUUUUUGAGGUCUUUGUGUGCAUGCACGUUAGUGUGGUGCGAUGAUAUCACUUCUAGGAGUGACAUCAUUGUGCAGGGCCUGGGAGUGCACAUUCAUCUUCCAAAGUGGCAGACUUUUCCAAAAUUGCCUGAGAUGAGGGAAAUCAUCACACUGUUUCCUUGACGAAGACCGUGCCAGUGAAACACCCCCCCCCCCAAAUUGAUAAAUCUGUGGAGGUUAUGAAGCAUACCGACAUGGAGAAGAGAAUAAGAGAAUACCAAAAUGGAAACAGUAGACAGCAGUGUGGUCAUUGGGACACGAGAAUGCAUUUGCUUGUUUUUCAGUGGUGGGAGCAUUUAUUUAAAUACGGCAAUAGCCUGGAAAAGGGUGAGGGAUUCAUCUCAGGUAUACUACAUCUUGUGGAAGCCCAGAAAACAUUGCUUGGCUUCUCCAAUGUCCUCACAAAGUUAGGGAGAGCCUGUGUCCUCUUUCAGGUGAUAGAAAAAGACUGUAUUAAAAAUGCACUCACAGGAUCAAGCAUGCCGGUGGAUUCUUUUGGGUUGACUCAGUUAUUGAAACCUAUUUGCAGAGUGAAAGAGGUGAUAGUGGAUGGGUUUCUUUGGUGAUCGGGCCUAGACUGCGACAUAAAGUCGCCAGUGGGACUUUGAACCUGUUGUUGGGAAACUCAUCCUGCAUGUCUGGCUGCAUCACUGCUUUUGGGAAUGGCCAGAUGAAUCUUGUGGCUGGCGGGCUUAGCAGGCCUAAUCAGAGAUAACAAUAUGCCUUGAAUCUCAGUGGGGAAGGCAGGUUAUAAAUGAAAUAAAUGAGAUAAUGACAGACAGACAGAUGCCUACCUAAAGAAAGGUAAAAGUAUGCAGAGUGUCUUUCAGUACACAACCUACCAGGCAGGCAUAUUGGCCAGACAUAAUAUUACACUGCCAUUUAAACAUAUGUUAAAAUGCAAAGAAAAGUUCUUUGUUUCAGCUUUAUAUCAGGAGCCAAACACUGAACAAUUUUAGGGGUGUAUUAGUUCAGUCCCUUGUCAAGCAGUGUAAUAUGUAAAUCCUGUAACACACACUAGGGGGUGCAGCAUAUGUAUACCUAAACACAGUUGGAACCUUUAAGCACUGUUAAGAAACUGGCCUUUAAAAGAAUAGUGAGAUAGUUUCCAGGUACUGUGUUUAGAUAAUUUAGAAUUAACUCUUCAGACAUGAUGGGUAUUAAAUGCAAGUUAAAAGUUAUUUUUUCUUAGUUUCAUCCAAGAUUUAAGAAUAAGAUUUAUAGAUAUUUUGGCAAAAUUUUAUUAGAUUAGAAGCAAAUAGAGUACAAAUAAACCAUAAUUUAUGGUGAGGGGUUUGCUAUAAUGAGGAACUUGGGCUAUUGGUUAUACAUGGCACUUGGCAAGAAUUGAUGUUCAUCCCGUGCACAUCCAGUACUGAUUUCUUUAUUUGUCACCUUUUCACUUAGAAUGGCACUCAACACAGCAUACAAGAGAUGAGAGAAUAAAACAACGAUACUAAAAUAAACACUUCAUGUAGCUUAAUAAUGUACUCUUAACAUUAAUACCAGCAAUUGUACAUGGAAAAGUGACUAAGAAAUGAAUAAACAGAAGAUCUCAACUCCCUCUAGCAAAACUCCCUGGCAAAAAAGAUGAGUUUUGACUAAUUUCUUAAAAAUAACAAGAGCAGGCCCGGCAAAUCUCUCUAGGAAGGAAGUUUCACAAUACUGGAGCAAGUACUAAAACCAUUGUUUCUAGCAGAGGACAACGUCCCUGCUGAUACGAGCAGCACCUAUGAGCUGUGAUUUUAUAAAUCACAGAUCAUGCUUAUAACUAUUGUAUGUUUCAGUUUAAGACCUCAAGUCAAAGAAACUUAUUGUUAGUAAAGAAAAGGAUUAUUAGGAGGAGCACCCAAAGUGAGGGCCAAGCAUCAUUUCUCUGGGUCCAGUGCACUGUUGUAACACGGCCUCCUCCCACAAUAUUAUGCCAUCCUAUAUGACCAGUUGCAGGAAUUAUAACAGCAAAAGAUCUGUUUCAUGUAUGAUUACCAGAUUAUGGUAUAGGAUUUGUAGGCUGGGCCAGGAUCCCACUAAAAUAUAUUCAACUUACCUAUCUCUAUAGUCCAGACCAAAUACUUACUAGCUUUUAACCCUUACUGAGGCAGAGCUGCUUGGGAGAAGGUAUCUUCUCAUACACCAUUUAGGCUUUAAAGCUUGUAUAUUGAACAUGGCUUGGAAACAAGCUAGUUAGCUGCUGCUAAUCAAAAAUUACCUGCAUCCUAUGACUUGAGGUAGCAAACGUCCAAACGGUCACAUUUCAAACCACUUUCAGAUUUUGCAAUUAAACUAGGAAGUACAUGAAUUGAGCUUGGUGCUGGCUUCUCCCCUUUCUCUUCUAGUAUAAAGCUUGAUAACAGAAUUGUGAUUAAAACCUAACUUUGGUUACCCAUUUAUACUCCUCCAUUUCUCUAGGCUUAAAGCAGCUUACAAGUAAUAAUUAAAAGAUUACAAAUUAAAAACAAAUAACAUUUUAAAACCCCAAUCCUCCACUCUCCUCCCCCAAGAUGCCUGCUAAUCAUACCCCAUUGGAAGCCCUUGCAAACAAGCAAGCCUUGCAGUAGCACCUGAAGAUCUCCUGUUAGUAGCUUCGCCUCCCCUCUUAGAGGAGCCCAUGCCACAGAGUGGGGGCCACGAUGAAAAGGGCACAGGCUCUAGACAAUGCCUGGUGGGCCAUCCAAAGUGGCCCAAUUGGUGACAUUCUGAAGACUGGAGUUGGCACAUCAAAACAUUGGACUUGUAAUGAAUAUGGCAGAAAUGGACAAGUUAACAAGGAAGUUAAAAGAACAAGAUACUUUGGACUAUGUUAUGAAUUGGGAGAAAUUUAAGAAUUAUGUGGGGGAAAAGUGGGACAUGAAAGGAAAAAUGUGGUCUUUGGAUAAUUGCUAGAAGGGGAGAAUAGAUCUGGUUUGCAAUUAGUGAUGGAAAUAUGAUAGUAUAUGUUAAGAAGAAUAUAGUAAUAUUGAAAUAAAUAUUAGAGAUAUAUCUGGAAUAUGAUAGAUAGAGAUGAGUAUAUUAUGGUUAUAUUAUAUUAGAGGUUAGGUUAUGUUAUAUAGUAUAUAUUAUAAUGUAGAAAUACUUAAAUUUACAUAGUAGGUGAUUUAGUAUAAAUGAAGGGAAUGGGAAACUGUUGGAAGUCAACUGAAAAGGGGGAAUGGGUGGGAAUAAUAUAAUGUGAUGGUUGUUAAAAAGUAUGUAUGGUGAUUUAUAUAUAUUGACCCAUCCAAUAAAAAUUCUU